ensembl:lncRNA
AUGUGGAUUUUAUGGACAUGCACAGUCAUAUUUUUACUGGUCAGAGACUGUCAUUGCAUUCAAAAGACCACGUUAUCGAAGAACUGGGGACCACAGUCAAUGCUUUACUUAAAGGGAAAACAUGGAAGACGGUUUGUUCCUGACAUUGAUGAUAUUAUUUCAAGUUCAGGGUUGAAAAGCUGGUACGCAGUUCUCAAAGGGUUUCAGAAACUGAAGUCGCUGAACGCAAGAAAACAAUCAGGAUUGUUCACAAUGCAGAACUUUGUUAUCCGUUAAUCUUUUUGUCUGCUGGGUCUGUACAGUGUGCCAUAUUUUAUAAUGUUUAAGAUUCAAAAUAAAUCUAUUUAUGUCAAAUACAUGGGAAAUUGAUUGAUUUUUUGACUGUUUAGAUGGGGCUUUAUAUAUUUUAGGAUUGAUUGUAUAUGUUCUGACAGUGGUGUUGGUUAUGUUUUUAUAAAUAAAAGUUAUAAAUCAAACUUUGGUUGAUGUGUUAAGAUAACAUUCACACUGAAGCUGACUCACAUGCCUAGUUGUAUGUGGUUAUUUUAUGCAUGCACAUUUGUUUCAGUGGCUAUUCAAUUUUAGUUGCAUUUUUCUUAAUAAACUGAGGUCAUUGUAUGUACAUACAGACAUUAUUCCAUGCAACCCAGCUGAGGUGCUUCAGAUGACCUUAAAUACCUCCGAUUCACAGCCAAACUGCAACAGCUGCAAAAGGAGAAAUCAGAUCAUGUGAGCAAGACGUGUCGCCUGCUCAGAGAGCAAUGGCUCCUUUCACUGCCCUCAAAUACACUUCAGUGUAUUCAGUGGAAACACAAUGGGAGAUAUUAUCUCUCAAUGUGAGUUCUGGUUAACAGUGUAGAUUCAUUUCUAAACUGCAAAGUUCAUCUUUCUCUGUCGCCAUGCCUUAAGCCACUUUCACUCUCUCAGGUUCACAUAACUUUGCAGCAAGCAAUUGUGAAUAGGUCUGUGUUGUUUUUUAAGUAUUUGUAUGAAUGGACUUUGGUAUAGUUCAGCCACUUUUAACGUUUUAACUGUUACGUGAUUGUUUAAAGUGGCGGGAAAAUUAACUUAAGGGAUGCAAAUAAAAGGUUAUGAUUACAAACGAAUGCAUCACAAAAUUCAUUAAAUCUAUUACUAAUAUUUGCUCAUGCUUGUACUGUUUUCCCACUGAAUAUGAUGUCAACUCCUAGAUGAUAAAAUACUGACUUUCAGUUACUAAUAAAUUAAAAUUCACACCUGCACUAGUCUCAUAUAUAGUGAGUAAAAUAUUUAUCCAAUAUGUGUUUAUUUUUAAGUAUCUUGCUAAAUUGAUUGACAUUUAAUUAAUACAUUUAACUGAUACAGUAAAAUAGUAAUUCUGUGAAAUAUAGCAAUUUAAUAUAAUUAAUUCUCGUGAUGGGAAAUCAGAAUUUUCAGCAUCCACGAUCCUUCAGAAACCAUUUUUUUUGGCGACCUGCUCAAUAAACUUUAUUUAAAAAAAAAAAAAAAAAAAAAAAUGUAUAUGAUUGCUUGUUAUAUAUCAAUAGCUCCAUCUUCUGGUACAUCACUGGUGAGGCAGAAGGAACUCCAAAUGGUUAACAAUAUUAAUAUUAUUAUUAAUAGGAUACUUAUUUUAAGUCUGCGUAUAGGCUAUAUUUUGAAAUGCAGGUUUGAAAUUCAGCCACUUAAUGAAAAUCGAUACGUUUACCAACUAAACAAGGUUACAGUAGGCUAUACAUAAUACAAAUCAACACUCAAAUGUAAUAAAAUAACGGAUAAAAAGUUGGAAAAAAUGAAUAAGUCCUUGCAGAGAGGUCCAUUAAUUUGAAGACUUCUUGCUGGUUGCAGGUACAAAAAAAUAAAAUAACGCUCUCGGUUUUGGUGGGUCUUCGCGCAAACAGAAUCGUACAACCAAUUAAACAGAUCGAGUUUAUCACACGAGCAGCGGAUUGGCAAACACACACAUAU